rnacentral:rRNA from 1 species
AGGAGAGUUUGAUCCUGGCUCAGGAUGAACGCUAGCGACAGGCCUAACACAUGCAAGUCGAGCGGCAGCACCUCGGGUGGCGAGCGGCGCACGGGUGAGUAACGCGUAUGUAACCUGCCCAUGAGUGGGGGAUAGCCCGGUGAAAACCGGAUUAAUACCGCAUAAUGCCAUUAUUAGACAUCUUAGAAUGGUUAAAGAUUCAUUGCUCAUGGAUGGACAUGCGUUGGAUUAGCUGGUUGGCGGGGCAACGGCCCACCAAGGCGACGAUCCAUAGGGGUUCUGAGAGGAAGGUCCCCCACAUUGGUACUGAGACACGGACCAAACUCCUACGGGAGGCAGCAGUGAGGAAUAUUGGUCAAUGGGCGGAAGCCUGAACCAGCCAAGUCGCGUGAAGGAUGAAGGCAUUACGUGUUGUAAACUUCUUUAGCUGUGGAGAAAUAAGGUGGUCGUGACCACCGAUGCUAGUACACAGAGAAUAAGGAUCGGCUAACUCCGUGCCAGCAGCCGCGGUAAUACGGAGGAUCCGAGCGUUAUCCGGAUUCAUUGGGUUUAAAGGGUGCGCAGGCGGUGCCUUAAGUCAGCGGUAAAAUCGUGGGGCUCAACCCCAUCCCGCCGUUGAUACUGGGGCACUUGAUUACGGUCGAGGCAGGCGGAAUUCGUCGUGUAGCGGUGAAAUGCAUAGAUAUGACGAAGAACACCGAUUGCGUAGGCAGCCUACCAGGCCGUUAAUGACGCUCAUGCACGAAAGUGCGGGGAUCGAACAGGAUUAGAUACCCUGGUAGUCCCCU